GACGUAGGGCGCGAGCGUUGUCCGGAAUUAUUGGGCGUAAAGAGCUCGUAGGCGGUUUGUCGCGUCUGCUGUGAAAACUGGAGGCUCAACCUCCAGCCUGCAGUGGGUACGGGCAGACUAGAGUGCGGUAGGGGAGAUUGGAAUUCCUGGUGUAGCGGUGGAAUGCGCAGAUAUCAGGAGGAACACCGAUGGCGAAGGCAGAUCUCUGGGCCGAUACUGACGCUGAGGAGCGAAAGCGUGGGGAGCGAACAGG
rnacentral:rRNA from 1 species